CUACCUCUCUGUUUCUGGGACCAGCGUGUGCUUGCUCCCAAAGCAGAAUUCUCCCCGGCUUAGCAGUUCCUCCUGCGCUCUUGGGGACAGCUGCUUGACGGUGACUAUGUGGGAAGCUGGAGGCUGUCCAGCUCCAUUGGCAGAGACUAAUCAUUUAGAAUGUUUUGUUUCUUUCAUUUGUUUCUCACUCUGCAUUGAAGAAAAAGUAGAAGAAAAAGAAAAAGAAAGCUGGAAAUGUGUCUCCCGAGUGGGCCGUAGAGAGAAGCUCUGAGGAAAGAGAGAGGAACAGAGGAAGGGACAGGGAUGAAAGGUAAAAAUGAGAAGGAACAGACAGGCGCUACUUUCGUGCGUGGAUGAAGAGACAUGGUCCGUGCUUCUUAUCGAUCUUUUUGCCCUUGGUUUCUCCUCUACCCCAAAUACAAUGGCCCUCAUUUCCUAGUGCCCAGCUCUAUCCUAAUUAGCUUAUGUGAAUUAAAGUAUGCAGAAGAGACUGUGUUCCACACGUUUCUAAAGGCUCUACCUGUCAGACGCACAGUGCCAAGUUCCCUGAAGCCAGGACUUCACAUAGUACCUUGCAAGGGUUUCUUCUAUUGACAAACUCAGUGAGUUUUGAAAGCAUGGAGCACUUUAGCAUUCCUCUCCAGAUAUGCACAGCUAUUCAACAAACAGCUCUGCUGCCCACGGCUUUCCCCGGAGACCAUUUGGAUAAUGAAUUGGCACCGUUCCCCCCGACUCAUCUGUCCCAAAUGUUUCAUAGAAACGCUUGACUGGUCUAGAAACUUGAGCUUCUGAUCCCAGGUCUGCUUUGCACCAGCUGAGUCGACGCUUUGCUUUUACCCUCAGAAAAUAUAAGGAUUCAAUUAGACAGACGUCUAAAGGAUGUUGUGUGUAUCUAACGGUUAGGGUUCUGAGCCUUCAUUACCAUCUAUGACAGCGCUUACACCCUGAGAUGCUGUGUCAGUCAGGCUGCCUGAGAGAAGAAAGCCCAUUGGAUGGACACAUACUCUUAAACUGACUUAUACCAUGGGGACUGCGUAGCUCAGCAAUGUCUGUCUGCAUGCUGGAAAGGUUGAGAACCACUGGCUACUCAGUCCAUGGGACUAGACGCCUCAGGAAUCCAAGUAUAGAGUCUAGGUUUCUGGAGAGUACCUCAAUCUUCAGUCCAUGUUGGAACCCAAACAAGCUCUGUGACAUCAGCUGGGAAUGAAGGACAGCUGCAGAGACACACUCCCCAAGACACCGUGGGAAGGAAUCAAAGAUCCCCCACCCCCCGGCUUUUCCCUCAUCUGGGCCAGUGUGAAGAUGUCACCCACUCCAGGUGAAGGUCCUUUCACUUCAUCUAAUCAAUCCUCUCUGGAAAGAUCCCAAUAGAUCUGUGUCUCCUAACUGAGUCCAGAUCCAAUCUCUUUGAUAAUCAGGGCUGAUUGUCACAGAUGCACAAGCCCACCCGAUCCUGGGUGUUCAGGUGUGUGAGUAUCCUACAUCAACAAUUCUGAGGCAACCUUGCAUCAGAAGCACACAAAUGUGGACUCCCAGUUUUUCUGAAUCCAUCAGACGCUUCUUUUCACGUGGUAUGUCAGUUCAGAGGAAGUGGGUCUAUGGGAAAAUUGAAGAACAUAUGCAAAUUUGUGAGUAUUGAGGAACGUGUGUGCAAGUUUCUCAACAGAACCCAACCUUCCCCCAAGGUUAUCAUGAUGAGAGCCUUGAACGUCUGGCCCUGGCCCUGGCCGGCCACUGGAGGCUGGGAUUCCGUGCUUAGCCACACUUGGUCUCAUUGCAGUGGGGUGUGCUGUAAGCGCUGACCAGCUGUGUGUUUGCACUAGAAGGUGACUCCACGGGGAAGCGGCACAAACUAUAUUCCUCAAGAAGCAGAUGUUGUUGACCAGAAGACAUAAAAAUCUGGCGAAGGAGGCACUUGCAACAGUGAUUAAUAGGAAAUUAUAUUGCGGCUACAUAUCUCUGUGAACGUUUGCAGCCCAUAGCUAAUAUCCAAAGCAAAUAUUUUGGAUGUUGAAUUGGCUCAUAAAUGCAGAUAUCAAUAGGGUGAUUGAAGCGUGGUUCUUAGCAAACACACAUAUCUAAAAGAUAAAGCUGGCAUUCUCUGAGUGAAUGAUGAAGGUUUGUUGAUUGCCAACAGAAAACUUUUUUAAAAAAUUGUAAAGAAAAAUUGUUCAGAAGGAAUCUGAACUUUAGGCAACUAUGUCUUGUUGAUGAGAGAAAUAAAAGAACAAUAUUUAUUAAUAUUCAA